CUUGGCUUGGGUAGGGCUGCAGAUGUCAACAAAGCUACCCCAGAAAUAAUUUCUUCUGCUGUAUUUGCUUGCUUAAUGCCCCUGCUUUAAGAUCAAUGCUAUGAUAGCUCGGCAGUCCAUUUCUCGAACAUAACCUGUUCUAUCCAAGUGCACCCAAAAAACAUAAAUCAGCUCUUUUAGUUGGAACCCGGUGACCAUUAAUUUCAGGCUGAGGCAUUAUUGUUAUUCUCUUCAUACCGUGCAAAAUAUUUCCCUGGAUUCUGACAAGGGGAGGAAAUUUCAUAGUGUUAGAAAUAUUACUGGGAGCAUCUUGUUCCGACUGGAUUCAGAUCUCUGUUAUUUUGGCAUUCUCUUCUGCUUUUCAAAUUGCUGUUAUUUGAAAGUUACUAACAAUGGAAGAGUGCAUCUGAUCGCUUGGGAAGGCAGCUACAAUGCACAACUGUUCCUCCUACAGAUGUUAAGCUGCUGCUCAAGGUCAUAAAACAUUUGAAUGUCAUUUCUUGAAUAAGUGCUCAUGCUCUGAGGUGGAGGGUUAGCUCACGCAGGUCAUACAGUUCAGCAACUCUAAGUUCAGUCCAGAAUUUCUGCACUGGAGGCAUCCUUACCAUUUUCUAUAAUUAUUAUUUUCCUUUAUAUUAUACCAUUAUGAUAGACUGCAAAUUUUUCUGUGAUUUUUUUUUUCCUUGUGGGAUAAGUGCUAUAUAGAGACACCUGGCGCAAACUGAAUAAGUUACAUGGAGUUGUAGCAGUAGCACAUCCUUUGUGUUGCACUCUGCUUAGCUUAGCUUGGCUAAUUUGCUCUAUUAAGUGUCUCUGUAAAUUGUAGUACCUGCAGUAGUUGUGGCACUUUACAUGGCGUCAUCUGGAAAUCCCUCUAUGUAGCCUUGCUCUCAGAACUGCUACGUUACACCCCUGAGGUUGUGUACUUCUUCUGUCCAGUAAUUUUGAGUCACUAGCACAGCUUAAGUUGAGAAUAAUAUAAAUCCUUGGGCAUUAUAAAACAUGAAUGUCCCUUUGUAACUGCUCUCCCAGACCAGCAUUUGACUUAUUUGCUAGCAGUUAUUUUAUAUAAGGUCAACUGCUGUUGCCUUUGCUAAGAUUUUGUUGCCUCCGUGAAAAGCCCUGGAUUUACCACGAGUAGAAAUAAAACUACCAAAAUACUUGUGUUGUUAUGCUUUAGGUUUCGUGGUAGGUUGGGUAACACACAUGUAUAUUAGGCUACAUUUUCUGAAAGCAUGAACAAGGUCACAAAGAGAUAUGCAGACGCACACAUCCUCCAAGUUUUCUAAGAUAUGCAAAACCCUGCCAUCAUUCUGUGGGAUCAGCAGUGCAAGAGAAGCCUACGGUGAUGAGGAGCCAAUAUGCAGGCCUCAGGGAGCCCCUACUUUCACAUUUGGUGUGAAUUCCAAAGCUUGCCUGUUGUGCUGUUAUUUAUUCCUGCUGGUCAUAAUGAAGGGGGAAAGGAACAAGUAUCAUGUUCACAAAUUUGGUUCUUGAAUCCUUGGCAGAAAUUUUGAGAUCACAGCUCUUCUGUCCUCUGAAAUGCUUUCACUUGGAGAAGUUGUAUGAUGUGAUGGAAUUUCUUUCUUCUUUCUAUCUGUGUUGGCUAAAACAAGACAGAGGAGCUUGAAAAGGCUCACCCUCCUCAAGGAAUGCUAUCUGAUUCGUAAGCAUUCCUAGAGGUUAAGGCUGGUGACUAUCAAGAAAGCAAAUACUUCACGCAAGGAUGUUUUGGUCAAAUUCGAGUACGUCACUGAGAUACUGAGCAAGCUCAAAACAGAACAGCUGAUUGCUUUGAAGAGCCAACACUUGAAAUUACUUAAAGCACUCUUCUACCAAAGAGACAGAAGACAGCUUUCAUAUUCUCGAGUCAUCCUACAAAGUCCUGCGUGAAAUAGACUACUGCAGCCUACAGGCAUCAUAGAAAUAUUUCAGUCAAGACCACAAGUUCCACUCUUGCCCCUAUGCUUAUGCUAAUGUGCACGAUCUCUUUGAUGAACAACAGCAAGGAGACUGGAUAGCUUGAGGUGUAAUUGAUGGGAUGCUGAAGGUCUGGCUGUUGUUUUGGUGGUUAUUUUUAUAGAUUAUAAAGGAACUGACCAUGCAGUGCUACCUCAACUUGUGGCUGAAUCUAACAGCUUCAUGGACUCAGCCCUCCAUUUAGCCCAUUUGGUCAAAUUAGGCUGGUGGUAACUGAAAGCUGUGACCAGCUGAUGGCUAUGUUGAAUGAUAGCUUGUGGAAAUCUCCUUAGUGGACUCAGACCAAAUUUUACUGACAGAAUCUCACUAUCUCCAAGCAAAUUCCUCCAAAAUAAAUGCUAACUCAAGGCUCAGGGGCAACCACAGGUUUAAAGACAAGGAGGGUGAACUUGUGUCUUCUCUAGAAGUAUUUUCUGUAAGCCAGCAAUGAAGUGAAAAAAAGGCACAUUUGUGUCAGCACCACCCAGGCUGUCAAUAAAGAACUCCUGCCCUCAGAACUAUCAAAUCAAAUUCAUAUGAAUUUCCCACUCUUCCAAAACCACUUUCCCACAGGGAAGAAGGGAUCACAAAAUUAAACAGCAUUCCCUUCUUCUCACAUCUUUGUAAUCUGCAAGCACUGUGCCUGUCACAGUGCUCCCAGGAGGUUUCCUUAACCAUAAUGUCUCAUCUCUGCAAACAGCUGUUUCCCUUUUGCACAAGAGUUCUUGGAGAUAUGCUUCACUUAUCAGAACUAUACCACUGAAAAGCUGGUAAAUAACCAAGUUCUGUUGGAAAGAUGAAAUUGCACUGCAGAUAGAUGGAUUUGCUUAACCUAUAAAAUAAUUCUGAGAUAGCUAUUGUUUUGGCAAAAUUCUAAAAUGUAACAAAGUUUGAUUGUUCUUGGCUUCUCCUAAUUUGCUUACUUUGGGGUAAUAGCUGGCCUUCAAUAUGCAUGUUAGUCUCGUUACUGUUAAGUUAAAUAUAUACACACAUAUCUAAGAGAGGUUUGACCAUUUACUGUCAGUGUUCCAAGGUUAGCUGAAGUCUGGACCUAUUACUUUCUCUGUGCUCCACUAAUUGAGACCAAGGCUUAUGCAAGACUUCCUUGGGGAUCACAGGGUCUGAGGUUUUUAUAGUCCACAAGGCUAAAAUUCAAAUAUGAACCACAGCUGUUUGGAUGGAAGUCCUGGACCUCAUCCUUUUGAACUAUAGUGACCUGCUCAGCCUUGCCAUCAUGUGAAACUCAGAAAUCCCUGCACAGAUGAUGACUGGGAUGUGAAAAUUGCCUGCCAAGCAGACCUGGGUAAAGUGAUUGGUUUACAGUGCUCUGGGAUUUGCAGGUGAAAGGACUGCUCUCUCACUCUCCUCUGCUACCCUCUUCCCCUCCAUUUCUGUACAUAUCAUUCUUUUAUAUAUAUAUAUAUAUGCAGAUUUGAUUCCACAUUCACCACCCAAACAGCUGAAUUGAUGUUCCUAUUGAAGAUGGUGAAGUUCCUCCCUUCUGCCAAGUACAGUUAUUUUUAUGAGUCCCCAGUAAGAGGUAAAGUAAGAGAAACAGGGUGUGGGAUAAACUAGUUAAUCUAUUUAAAUAGGGAUAGACCUCUAGCGCCCUAACACUUAAAUACUUUGUCUUCACUCGGCUGUGCUAUAUUUUAACUGGGGACUACAACCAGGACAAACAAGCGUGGCCUUUUCCUACUGUGGAUUGUCAUGCGAAAAUAUUUGUGAAGGGGUGGAGUAAACAUUUUUGGGGAUCACACUGCAAGAGGAGAUAUAUGGGAACUCACUGUGAUGCAAAAGGAAAUCAUGUGUUACUCCACAGAUGAUGUGAUUGGCAUUGUGAGCUCAGAUGCGUAAAGACUAUCGAGGCAAAAAAAUCAAGAUUGAAGCAGAAUGAAAUGCUCCUUUCUUCGGUAAGUCAGUGGGAGUCAUAAAUACUUCUGCAUCAGCUAGGAAAGCUACAAAAAACUAAAUCACAACUCUAUUUUCAUGCUGAUGCAUGCACUUUAAAGUAAUAUAUAUAAAAAUGCCUUCCUUUUGGCAUAACUGCAAUUACAUAAAUAUUUAGAUUUAUACUAAUAAGUAAUUUUGCAGAAGUUUAAAAUGAUAGGCUGCGUGAUAGCUAUUUAAGGGGAUGGGCAGCCCACCUUCCAGUGGCCACAGUGACUUCCAUCAAGUCGUAAUUGCAGGAGAGGGUGCUUCUGGAAAUUAAUGGUGAAUCUUAUAUUCCCUUGCAUUUAGAAUCCAAAUCUAUUAUUUCAUUACUACUGUUAAUUAUAUAACAAUCAUAUAAUAAUUAUAAAAAUAAUUAUAUAAUAACUAUGUCUGAAUAAAUAAUAAGCAUUUUCAAUAUUAAUGACUGCCUAGCAAGCAAGGCAAAGCAGAUCUUAAUCUGGUUUGAGUUUCUAUCCUUACACAUUCAUUUUACUCUUGCAAAGCAUAUUAAAUACUAUGGAAUGUAUAAAAAAGGCCACAAUUUCUUCUCUAUUGGUAUACUGAAAGUCUUUGUGUGUCCAAGGUAAUAGGAAUUCCCACAUUCGUGCUUACUGUAAAAUACAGCAAGCAAAAGCUAGAUAAAUUCUGUUUAAUAUGGAAAUAAUUUUGGCUGCAUCUUUGGCUUUGUAUGACAUGGAAACUGGUGAUUGUUUAUGCUUUGCUACUUUUUUUGGUCUGCAUUAAAAUCCCACAUGAGAAACAAAUUUUUCUCUAGGAACAAAAUGUUACUUUUUUGGGACUGAGUUCUAAUAAGUUGGGUAGUACGUCUGCUUCUUUUCAGCUGGGAAAUUGCAAUGCAUAUAAAAUCCAGAUGGAUAACACAUGAGGCUGGAAGCAGCCUUGGCCAAUCAGCCACGUCACUUGAUUAAAAGAAACCUAUAAUAAUUUAAGUAAAAAUAGUACCCUAACAAAGUAACAGAGCAACAAACUGGCUGCAGCAUGCGAUUUCAUCACAGUUCCAAUAUUGCUUUACUUUUGCUGGUUGGUCCUUUCAUAUCUUAUUGUAAAUUAACCUAUUUGCAUUAAGCGUGCAUGGAACUUGUGAUUAAAGCCCCAAAAUGUCAGUGAUGGAAGAUACAUGAUAAGCAGGAUGAGGGGGUAAAUCCAUCACCAGACUACAGAAGGCCACAAGGACCUAUUGCUCUUAGGGCAGUGGUGCACUUGAAGAACUCAGCUGAGAGUUUUGCCAUGAGGAAUCACCUACCCUGGCACGUGCCACACUAGUGCAGACCAGUACUUUUUGUAUGGAUUUUGUCUGUGACUGUCAGAAAGCAAGUAAGUGCAUCAAUGCAAUUACAAGGUCACUCUGCGGAAAAACUCCUGACUAUCCCGCGAGAUGCAGCAGAUUUGUGGGUGAGACUGUCUAAGGCAGCCUGUGAAGAAGUCACAGACAGGACUUGCAGAGGGAUGGAGCCACAUCUGGAAUCCCUGUGGGCAAUUGAAGGAAUGUUUAUUAUUCUUUGUUUAUUAUUUUGAGUGUGUACUCUCCCUCUUCCUUUCUUUGUCUCUCUUUGUUAUUUGUGUAAUAAAAUUCCUCUAGGCAUACAAAGUAAGUAAGUCAUCUGGAAUUGUGCAGUUCCCUCUGCCAGGAAGCUGGAAAAGCCUCUCGUGCAGAGACAAAAAUAUGGGCUCAUCUCAAACACUGAGAAAUUACAGAAAUAUUCACCAUUUGCCUUUGAGUUAUAUUUACAUAGGAAAGAACUGUGGCAAAUACGUGUGCUUCUUGCUGUUAAAAAAAAUUGGCUUUUAUCCUGCCCAAGGUGUUGUGUUUAUUUAAAGGUUGUUGAGAAAUAAUUUGUACGUUCUAAAAUAAAGCAUGCAAAAUACAUUAAAAGGGCCCAGUGACAAAGUUGUUUUUUUUUUUUUGCCAGUGGGUGUGGAGAAGGAAAAGGAAAUGAGUAAGUAGAGAGGAGCGUCUUUAUGGCCACAUGGCUAGUGAAAAUUUCUAUUUAUUCUUUGGGGAAAAAGCAAAGUAGCUGCAUAGUUGCUGGUUGGAUAGGUGCCGGGACUAUUUUUAUUGGCAGGCAGCUCUGAGUGGCUGAAAGGCGGUCAUUAACACUCUGACACAAAGUGCUGACAGGGCGAUUAUAAGAUUAACACCCUAUGUUAUAUUAACAGUGUCAAAACCUCCCCGUACCUGUCAGUGAGAAAUAAUGGCACGAAGGAAAACAUUAUAGACAUGCUGAGACUUUAGCACUGAAAUACCAUGCAGCUAUUCACUUUUUGAAAUUGAUCUAAAUAUCUAGAUGACCUACUGAAGGCUCAUAAAAUAAUGUGAUUUAAAUGGCAGCUUCACCAAAUCAAAAAAUGAAUGCAAAAGUUAAGCCGCCCAGCUUACUUACUCUCUUGUUGACACUUUUAGCCCUGAUCUCCCUGGCAGUGGGUCUCUCACAACUGCUGCCUUUCAGUAGAGUUAUGGUUUGAGAUCUCAUAAAUUUAGGAUUUGACCUUAGGACUUUUGACAAAAACAGAGCUUUUCUGGAGAAUAUUAUUACUGGUCAAAAUUCAACCUCGGUCUUUCUCCAGGACUGCUAGUCAUCAUAGUCUGGUUUUAUCAGUGAGAGCCUUUGGACCAUAAGGACCAAUCUGCAUUUAAAAUGUCUCUGCUCCACGUUCAUUAGAACUGGAAUAGCAAACCCUCUGGCAUAGCUGUCCUGGAGAAUAUCCAAAGAAUGGCAACGAAACCAGUGAAGUUUCUGGAUCACAAGUCUUAUGGAGAGCAACUGAGGGAAAUGAGAUUGGUCAUUCUGGAGAAGGUGAGGUUCAGGGAAGACCUUAUCACACUCUACAGCUGCCUAAAAGGAGGUUGUGGUGAGAUGAGGGUGGGGCUCUUCUCCCAGGUUUCAGUGAUAGGAUGAGAGAUGAUGACCUUAAAUUGCACCAGGGGAGGUUCAAGUUGGAUAUUAGGGAAAAUUUCUUCUCAGGAGUGGUGAUGCACUGGCACAGGCUGCUCAGGGAGGCGGUAGAGUCACUGUCCCUGGAGGUGUUCAAGAAAAGGGUGGGUGUGGCACUGAGGGAUAUAAUCUAGAGCAGUCGUGGCCAUGGCUUGAUGGUUGGACUAGAUGAUCGUAGUGGUCUUUUCAACCUUGAUGAUUCUAUGAUAGCUUCAGCUAGACUGCCUUAUGCUGCCUUAAGUUCUGCCAGUUUUGAUUAAGAGGAUAAGCCAGGAGAAAAAAAGUUCUUCCUGUAAGACUAAAUCUGUACCUUCACUAGUAAAAAAUAUUGUUCAAGUGUUGCCAGGCAAAGCAUUAUUUCUGUAUUUUUAUUAUUAUAUUUUAUGUUGUAUAUGAUGAUAAUACAGUCUAUAUAUUUUUGUCUGUAAGACUGAUAAAUAAAAUGCAA
ensembl:lncRNA